UACGUAGGGCGCAAGCGUUGUCCGGAAUUAUUGGGCGUAAAGAGCUCGUAGGCGGUUUGUCGCGUCUGCUGUGAAAACCUAAGGCUCAACCUUGGGCUUGCAGUGGGUACGGGCAGACUAGAGUGCGGUAGGGGUGACUGGAAUUCCUGGUGUAGCGGUGGAAUGCGCAGAUAUCAGGAGGAACACCGAUGGCGAAGGCAGGUCACUGGGCCGCAACUGACGCUGAUGCGCGAAAGCGUGGGGAGCGAACAGG
rnacentral:rRNA from 1 species